CUGGACAGAGACCCUCAGACACACAGGUGCUUGGGUAGGAAGCCAUCAGUGCCCCCAAAAAUUGUCCAGCAAAGACACAGAUGAGGUUGGGGCUAGGCUGAGUGCCUUUGGGCAUGUGUUGACAUACAGCUUUUUUGGGUUUUAUUUCAGGUGAAAUGAACUCUUAGGAAACCACUGAUGGAUUCAUCAAGAAGCCCUAAACCUUGGAAAAGCCAAGAGACCAGAGGUCUCACCUUAAAGGUAUCUGGUCCUUCGACCUCACCGUGACCCAGCUUCUUCAGGAGAACAUUCCAGAAGCAGAGCAAGGGGCUGCGAACGGUGUGCAAUGCUUCCUGAACCACCUCAUGGCCCUCCAUCCACUUCGUCUGGGUCAUGCUGGCUCUGCGGCCAUGGCAUUUCAGCGUCUCGUCUUCAUCUUCAUCCUAUUUGUAACCAUGGGGCACAUGCUGUAUUUUUUUUUUUUUUAAUGCAAGAAAGUGUAAGAUUAGAAACGCCCAUGUUCAGAAGACAGCAAAGAAGGGAGCUUUAACCUGACAGUAUGAAGAUUCCCCUACAUCUAGCAUGGACAGAAGUGUUGACAGAGGGAGGAGUUUUGGCAGAACAACAGAAGUCAAGUACGGCAAUGGCAAAGAAAAAGCCAACUACUAAGCCUGUCUGUCUACCACAUUACUUUAUUGGCUUCCAAAUAAACCCAAUCCUAGGGGACAAAAGAUGUGAAUCCAUAUCAGAAGAGAGAGGCAGUUCUGGAUUCCUGAGGUGUGUAAAGCUUUGAUUCUGCCCCCUCUCUGUAAGGUCUAUUUUCACCAGUCCAUAGCCCUAGGCUUGGUCUUGGAGCUGGGUUCUUCAGGAUAGGCUUCCUGUACAUGAGCUCAUAUGGACUCAACCUGAGUUUCCUUUGGGGGCCAUUUGCAUUCUCAAAAGUGCUGUGGGGAGAAGGGAGAUCUAGGUUGAUGAAUGAACCACAGGAGAAUUCCUAAAUUUUUGCUGAGGGUUUGGUUUGUUCUACUUUUCCUGAGGAUUGUGGCCUCCAAGUAGCGUGUGAACCCCAUUUGAUUCGUAGAGCUCUAGAGUUUCUCUUAGUAAUUUGGGAAAAUAACAUGGGCCCGUUGUGACUCUGGAUGGAUAUAAGGAGCCUGAGCUGAAGAUUACUUCCUUGAGCAAGGCCUUAGACCUCCAAGCAGUCUCUGUUUGGGUGGGGAAUGCUCCAUUAGUUGGAGAAGGUGUCAAAACCAGCAUAGGAGUUCCCUGGUAGCCUCAUGGUUAAGGAUUAGGCAUUGUCACUGCUAUGGUUCGAGUUCAUUUCCCAGCCUGGGAACCUCUGUGUACCAUGAAUGUGGCCAAAAAACAAAACAAAACCAGGAUAUAUCUAAAAUUUAAUUGCCCCAGGGCAUUACUGUGAAAUCAGAUUGCCAGUCUUAACCUGCAUAUGUGCCUUUAUACUGGGUGGGGGUCACUCCCUUGGCCUUGGGUCGGGGGAGGUGUGUUGGGCUUAUUCCAGAGGCAGAUAGGGCAAGCUUUUACCACCUGUUUAAGUAGACUGCAGAAAUUGGGAGUAGUCAUGGAUUGGAUAAGCUAUUGAUACAGGGCCUCCUGCCCAUAAAGUGUGCUCUAGUGAGUUUCCCAGAGAGCAAUGGCUGAUGGGAGAAUAGCUGCCCAUGACCAUUAACCAGCUACCUGGGUAUUAUGGCUUUUAAAACAACCCCACCUUUGAGUUUCCUGGUGGCCUAGUGGUUUAGGAUUCGGCAUUGUCACUGCUGUCGCUCAGAUUUGAU
ensembl:lncRNA